rnacentral:rRNA from 1 species
UACGGGGGGAGCAAGCGUUGUUCGGAUUUACUGGGCGUAAAGGGCGCGUAGGCGGCCUCCGCAAGUCGACUGUGAAAUCUCCGGGCUUAACCCGGAACGGUCAGCCGAUACUGCGGGGCUAGAGUGCAGAAGGGGCAACUGGAAUUCUCGGUGUAGCGGUGAAAUGCGUAGAUAUCGAGAGGAACACCUGCGGCGAAGGCGGCUCUCUGGUACGUGACUGACGCUGAGACGCGAAAGCGUGGGGAGCAAACAGG